rnacentral:lncRNA from 1 species
AGUCAAACUCCAGCAGCUUCACUACGAGUAGUAAUGUCAUUUCAGGUCAAAAGACCAGUCAAACAACUGCAGUAUCGAUAAAGUCACUAACGAAUGAGCAGACAUCAUGUGACUUCUCGUAUUGGUCACGCUCAGUGCUAGUUGUUCUCUAACAACCACCUGCACUCUCACUCCAGUGUCACUACACCAUAGACUUGAGACCCAUUUGUCUGAAAGAAGUGAUCUGUUCACUGGUCUAUCUGGAUCAAUCACCA